GCCCCCGUAGCUCAGUGGAUAGAGCAACCGCCUCCUAAGCGGUAGGUCGCAGGUUCGAUUCCUGCCGAGGGCACCA
rnacentral:tRNA from 3 species